rnacentral:rRNA from 1 species
UACGUAGGAUGCGAGCGUUAUCCGGAUUUAUUGGGUUUAAAGGGUGCGUAGGCGGGCUUUUAAGUCAGCGGUAAAAUUGCGGGGCUCAACCUCGUCGAGCCGUUGAAACUGGGUGCCUUGAGUGGGCGAGAAGUACGCGGAAUGCGUGGUGUAGCGGUGAAAUGCAUAGAUAUCACGCAGAACUCCGAUUGCGAAGGCAGCGUACCGGCGCCCUACUGACGCUGAAGCACGAAGGCGUGGGUAUCGAACAGG